UUAAGUCCCGCAACGAGCGCAACCCUUAUCCUUUGUUGCCAGCGGUCCGGCCGGGAACUCAAAGGAGACUGCCAGUGAUAAACUGGAGGAAGGUGGGGAUGACGUCAAGUCAUCAUGGCCCUUACGACCAGGGCUACACACGUGCUACAAUGGCGCAUACAAAGAGAAGCGACCUCGCGAGAGCAAGCGGACCUCAUAAAGUGCGUCGUAGUCCGGAUUGGAGUCUGCAACUCGACUCCAUGAAGUCGGAAUCGCUAGUAAUCGUGGAUCAGAAUGCCACGGUGAAUACGUUCCCGGGCCUUGUACACACCGCCCGUCACACCAUGGGAGUGGGUUGCAAAAGAAGUAGGUAGCUUAACCUUCGGGAGGGCGCUUACCACUUUGUGAUUCAUGACUGGGGUGAAGUCGUAACAAGGUAACCGUAGGGGAACCUGCGGUUGGAUCACCUCCUUA
rnacentral:rRNA from 1 species